rnacentral:rRNA from 1 species
CAAGCGUUAUCCGGAAUUAUUGGGUUUAAAGGGCGCGUAGGCGGUCUGUUAAGUCCGUGGUGAAAGCUCCAUGCCUAACAUGGAAAAUGCCAUUGAUACUGACGGUCUUGAGUACAUUUGAAGUGGGCGGAAUGUGUCAUGUAGCGGUGAAAUGCUUAGAUAUGACACAGAACACCGAUUGCGUAGGCAGCUCACGAAACUGUAACUGACGCUGAGGCACGAAAGCGUGGGGAGCAAACAGG